UACGUAGGGGCUAGCGUUAUCCGGAAUUACUGGGAGUAAAGGGUGCGUAGGUGGUUUCUUAAGUCAGAGGUGAAAGGCUACGGCUCAACCGUAGUAAGCCUUUGAAACUGGGAAACUUGAGUGCAGGAGAGGAGAGUGGAAUUCCUAGUGUAGCGGUGAAAUGCAUAGAUAUUAGGAGGAACACCAGUUGCGAAGGCGGCUCUCUGGACUGUAACUGACACUGAGGCACGAAAGCGUGGGGAGCAAACAGGAUUAGAUACCCGUGUAGUCCCUGAG
rnacentral:rRNA from 1 species